CCAAGCGAAAGUGAUAAGUGUCCCACCUGGGGAGUACGUCGGCAACGAUGAAACUCAAAGGAAUUGACGGGGGCCCGCACAAGCGGUGGAGCAUGUGGUCUAAUUCGAUGAUACGCGAGGAACCUUACCAGGGCUUAAAUGUAGUGGGACAGGCUUAGAGAUAGGCUUUUCUUCGGACUCAUUACAAGGUGCUGCAUGGUUGUCGUCAGCUCGUGCUGUGAGGUGUCAGGUUAAGUCCUAUAACGAGCGCAACCCCUACCGUUAGUUGCCAGCGAGUAAAGUCGGGGACUCUAACGGAACUGCCGGUGCAAACCGUGAGGAAGGUGGGGAUGACGUCAAAUCAU
rnacentral:rRNA from 1 species